CACCCCCAUGUGAACUGCACACAGGAAGGGAGAGGCCACUCCGACUGCUCUGAGGUCCAGGUGGCCCUCGCCCCGGCCCAUCCGCGCCUCCCAGGCCCAGCCUCACCUGCUGCCGAGAGAGGACCGUGACCCCCCAAAAGCCGGAGGUGGAGGAGGAGGAGGAAGAGGAGGAAGGAGCUGGAGGAGCCGGGGACUCGCCCGCUGAGGAUGCUCUUGUCAAGACAAUGAAUGAGAAGCAGCCGUGCGCCCGCCUCCGGGGUGGCCGCGCCCCUUGGGGCGGAGCUCUUUCAGGCCCG
rnacentral:antisense_RNA from 1 species